UAUUUAUUUUAUUAUAUUUAUUUUUUGUUUAUUUAAUUAUUUAAUAAAAAUAAUUUUGUUGAAUUUUGUCUUAGUAUAUUUUGUAGAAUUGAUUUUUUAGAUUAUAGCUUAUUGGUAAUGUAAUUGUUUUAUGAAAUAUUAUUUUAAAUUUUUAAAAGUAGAUUUUAUUUAUUGUACCUUUUGUAUCAGGGUUUAUCAAAAUUUUAGUAUUUAUUUUACUUGUCUCGAUUUGGGUUGAUUUAUAAAUAAUUUAUAGUUAAUGUAUCAUAAUUAUUAUUAAAUUAUUUAUAGAAAUGAGAUGUUAAUCGUUUCCCAAGAUAUCUAGUUUCUUAAGAAAAAAUUUAAUUUUUUGAAGUUAAUUGUUUCUAUUUAAUUUUUUAAGUAUAAAUAUUAACUUAUUUAUUCUUUAAGGGAUAAGCUUUGAAGUUAAUAACCUAUAAUUUGUUUUAAUAAAAUAUAAUAGUAAGCUUUAGACCAGCUAUCUUUAAGAUUACGUUUUAGUUCACUAUUUUUUAUUUUGAUUUUAUAAUUAUUUUAGGUUUUUUAUUAAGAUUAUUUAUUUAAUUUUAAAAUUUUUGUAAUAAUGAUAGAAUUAGUAUAUUUAUUUGUAUAUAAUUUUUACCUUGUGAAUUUAUUAUAAGGAACUAGGC
rnacentral:rRNA from 1 species